rnacentral:lncRNA from 1 species
AUUAGCAUGUUUGGGAUCCACUACUGGAUGGUUAACAGCAGCUUUUGUAACUGUACGCCGACCAUAUCCAAUUAUGCUCUGCUAAAAAUGAACUCUUUGCAGACCAACCCUCUCGGCUGUCAGUGUUUUCCGUUUUCCUAUUUUAACGUUUGUGUAUAGUGGCAGGCGACAGAUGGUGUAGAUCAGAUCGAUUUGAUUGCAUUAGAUGAUUUUUUCCCUUCCCCACUCCUUUCUGGAAGCUCGCAUCAGCUGAAGGCUAUCGCCUGGGACUCCUCGGAAGCAUGAGCAAGCCGCCACCACGCGAAGGCACUGGGGCACAGCCAGCGCGAGGCGCCGAGGUCCCUUCCCAGGGCUUGUUAACACUGUAACCCGGCACUCGGAGAGAAGAAGCAGCUCCCACUGCCCAGAGCCUACCUCACUGCACAUCAGAUGACUCCCUGGCUUCUACACACAGUUGGAGUUCCGCUUGAAACCUGGAUUUAGAGGGGUUCUCUGGCUGCCAUGGCACUCAAUCAAACCACCUAGAGUGGACUGGCCGAGACCAGACUGGGUACCAAGCAGAGAAGUGCAGAGGAAAGCACUGGGAGAGCACCAGAAUUGGAAAUAGAGCGGCCAUUUGGAUUUGGGCAGGAAGCAGCCGAGCACAGCUUUGGAUCCUUCUUUAGGGAAAUCGAGUUAUGGAUUUAUGGUCCCGGUCAAGCUCAGCCCAUCCCCAGGCAGGGGCGGGCUCAGCGAGCAGCAAGAGUUCUGGUGGCGGCGGCGGCGGCAGUAGCAGCGGCAGCGGUAGCAGCGGCAGCGGCAGCUUGGUCCUCUGACUCUCUUCGGUGACGGGUAUUCUUGGGUGGAUAAUACGGAUUACGUUGUUAUUGCUUAAGAAUACGCGUAGUCGAGGAGAGUACCAGCGGCAGGGGGGCAGCGGCCGCCCUCCCCAGCCCACCAGCUGGCCACUAAACGCCCGUGGUUGCCAAGGCAUCCAAAGCCUCUGGGAUGUGUUCUGACUGUAAAAACUCUGAUGUUGUGAAAAAAGCUUACGUUUUGCCUCCACUCAAACCAGUUGGUGUUUCGCUCUUAUUGCCCAGGCUGGAGUGCAAUGACGUGAUCUUGGCUCACCACAGCCUCUGCAUCCAGGAUUCAAGCUAUUCCCCUGCCUCAGCCUCCCAAAAUGCUGGGAUUAUAGGCGUGAGCCACCACUCCUGGCCAGCACUCCCAAUUUUUAAAAAUGCAUGAUUGACAAAAAUCUUAGAAAGCCGUUUUCUGUAGAUUUGAAAGCAAUGCUAUUUACAUUGUUACUACUUUCUUGUUAAAUCUUGCAUGUCUGCAGUAUGUGUUGUAAUAGAAACCUAAGAUUAUGAUCUGCUGUAUUCAUAUUUUAAAAAGAAAAUUUCAGACUGUAUAAUCAACUAGUUGAUGAUUCAUAUUUGCUUGUACAAAGUUAAAAGUGUAACUUGCCAGAAAAGAAGGAAGCCUGAAAAGUAUUCUAAAUACAUUAAUAAGAAGGGUUCUACAUGAAUUAAUUUUUGUUUUGCCAUCUACAGAGUUCCUGCCACAUUCUAGGCACUUCAUAUUUGCUGCAACAUUUAUUCAGACAUUGACAGAACAAGAGAAAAGAAGUUAAAUUUUAAGUACCAUGGAUUGAAAUUAAACUUAGGGAAGAUAUUUUAUCGUAUGAAUUGUUCAUCUGUAUUUAACAAGGUAUUCAUUUAUUUUGGGUGAUUUAAGGAAGGUCCUUUCUGGAAACAGGAUUACAAACAUACGGACCUAUUUAGUCAAUUUCAACCUUGUGAUUUUGAAUCUGACAGGUUCUCAGCUGCUUUUAUUAAAUAACGGAUUUUCUUAAUAAUUACUGUACUCAAACUUAGCAAAAAGCUCUAUUUAUAGCCCAGUUUUUUAGUCACACACUAUUGUGUCUUGUCAAAUUGAAACCAUAUACUACAUUCUUUACUUAUUAAGAUGGUCUUUUUUUGUAAUAAUUUUGGAGUAGAUAGUUUACUUAUCUAAACCUCUGAUUUCUCAUUUAAUAGAUUUUUGAAGCAUUUAUUUUCCUUACCAUACAUAAAAAUUGUCAGUUGAGGACAAGGAAGGAUUAACCUGGACUACGGUGAAUAAUUGUUCAGGUUGCUUACUGUGUAACUCCAGAGGAGCAUUCACAUGGUACAAUUUGCAGAUUUAAGUAUUUAUUACAACCAUUUUCUGGCAGAUAACAGUGGAACACCCUGUUCUGUUAAAAUUAGUUUAUUAUGACAAAUUGCCUACAGAUGGACAUAAAGUGUCUUGAGGAAGGGCACCUGCUUUGGACUGAAUCGUGUCCCCCCAAAAUCAAAUGUUGAAGCCUAAUCUCUAAUAUGAUGGUAUUUGGAGAUGGGGCCUUUGGGAGAUAACUAGGUUUAGAUGAGGUCAAGAGCGUGGGGCCUUCCUGAUUAGUACCCUGAAAAGAGAAUACACCAGAGAGCUUGCCCUCUCUCCCUCUUACCCCACAGGCACACAAAGAGGUCAUGUGAGUACACAGUCAGAUAACAACCACCUGUGAGAAAACAGAAGAGGCUUCAGAGUGAAAUCUACUUUGCUGGUACUGUAAUCUUGGACAUUAUUCUCAAGAACUGUGAGAUAAUAAAUUUAUCUUAUUU